rnacentral:lncRNA from 1 species
UUUGACUUUGACAUUUGCAAGUAGUCCUAAUAGCCACUGCAUCCUGAAUUGUAAUUAUGAGCCACCAAUAACAAAAAAGACUUCUGUGAUAUGGAUCCCUAAUGUUCUCUCAGAUGGUGAUGAAUAAAGAAAGAACCCAGGAGUAUAAAAAAAUACUUACAUACAUACCUACCAUUGUGGUGCUGUACAUAAAUACAUAGUCACACCACCAUACCAGGAUGGACUGAGCCGUGCACUACCAAGAAGACCAACUGCAGCCUCUUGUGAUGGACAUAAUGACCAGAGUGGUGACAGAUAAGCAACCCAUCACAAAUAUAAAUAUUUCUUUUUUCUGUGCAAGUUUUGAUGUUAUAAAUAAAAUACAAUCAAAAAGUA